CUGGUAUAGUUAGAGAGGACAUUUGAGAGAUAAGAGGGUUCUUAUUUUUUGAUAGUUUGUUGUGAAAAAUUUUAUAGUAUUGAUGGGCUAAUCUUUUUGGUGUUGGAAUAUGUAAAUCGUUAUGUAGGUUUUGGUUUGUGACAUACCAUGGACACCCUGUGAUUACACGUAGACUUAUUGACUGGAAAGCUUCUAGUGGGCGGAUGUUAGACGGCUUGGCCUGUCCCCAUAUUUGGAUGCCGUAUGUCCAAAUGGGAGCUAGUAUAACUUUGUAUAUGAGAAUUUUGUUUUUUAAACUAAGUUUAGAUUUCAAAAUUGGGCGGA